AAUGGGGGCAACCCUGAUCCAGCAAUGCCGCGUGUGUGAAGAAGGUCUUCGGAUUGUAAAGCACUUUCGACGGGGACGAUGAUGACGGUACCCGUAGAAGAAGCCCCGGCUAACUUCGU
rnacentral:rRNA from 1 species